rnacentral:lncRNA from 1 species
GGGAUUCACCAGCAAAGUCAUGGCUGUGCCCUACAGAAAGUCCUUGCACCUCUUUGUGCCUUAGGUUGCCCCUGUGCAUGUUACAUCCUUCGCUUGGGAAAGCAAUCAGCAACCCACCGACGCUCUGCUGCUGCAGGUGAGGUGACCCAGGUGGGUUUCAGUUAAAUAAUCACAUUUCUCAUUCAACAGGUUGACAAACAGCCCUGCAAUAUUUCCCAGCACCGAACCGGUAGCACCACAUCACGCCAACAUUUGGGGCGCCUGGGAGGAGCACGAGGUGGAGCAGGAGCACCAGGACACGGGAAGGUUGGAAGCCCUGCUGUGCACCCGCGAUGCUCACUGCGUCCCUUUGGUUGCCCUCUCGAAGGCUGGCGAUCUUGGUUUGGGAAAAGGUGCUGUGCGUUCAGCACCGAAGUUGCAUGAAUGGUGUGUGUGUUCAUGGUACUGGUAAGCCACGGUGUCCAGGUACUGUGGUAGCAAUGAUCUGAGUAGCAUGCGGCAUGACUUCUUCAGUGCUUUUCAUACCUGUGUUCGUCCUCUCCACUUCACUUUUUCGCAGGGCUCUGUCCUCUUUUCUCUUCCUCCUUUUCUCCCCAGGUGGAUUAAAGAGGGUUUUGUUGUCG